rnacentral:lncRNA from 1 species
GGAUCCAGUGGCCAUUCCGCUCUUCCCCCAGGGCGCCCCGAGUCUGGUAGUCAUUAAAAAGACAUAGCCCUUUAAAAGUGUGACACCGUCUUCCUUAAAGAGCCUGAAGCAAUGGCUCCAAAGAUAUCAGGACUCCACCUCCAGGACCUGAGACGGUGACCUUAUUGGGGAAAGAACUUUUUGUAGACUGUUGCCUUCAGAGCUCAGCCUUGCCUGAAAUCCAUCCACUCAAGAGCAGGUUCGCAAAGGGGAAAUGAAGGUCCACGGCAGAACGUGAAGAGGAAAAUGCUUUUCCAAACCCAGGCUGAGGGCUGAGCCACGAGGUUGCCUGAUCUUCCCAGGUCCUCAUUCCUGAAUCCUGAUGGCCCAGGCAGUGCCUCUCCACCCAGCCCCCCGCCUGCCCAGACUCUGCCUCGGAACUAGAAGACUCUUCAAAAGAAAAAAGGGUGAAGCGAGCCAUGAGCAGAGGCUGGAAACAAAUAGUCCCCCUUUAGAUGUAGGUCAGCACUUCUCCACUGGCCCAACGCACACCGUCCCCCGUCCAGGAGGCGUGUCUGUUCAGCGGCACUAGCACCUCGCCCCAGCCCCUGCCGAAGGCAUCAAGCGUGGGCGAGGUCAGCCUCAAAAAUGAUUCUCCAAACGUGUUGGAUCUCCGGAUGCCUUCCGCGUAGAAAGCUAGGAUUCAUUUAUGAACAACCCGAAUCCGUUUCCCUGUAGGAGCAAAGGAGAAGAACGUGUCGGCUCCUCCAGACGGGGACACGGAGAACGGGGUGGCGUGAGAUCCCCUCUCAGAGGGGACGCGGGUCCUUUGGAAGAUGUGUCCUCGCCGUCUCCAGGGAACUAGAGGGGUGUCAGCUCCUCUGAAGCGAGUAUGCUGGUAAACGGAGAAUUUUCAAAGAAUUGGCUUUUUAAACAUUCAGUACCCAACGCGUCGAUGGACAAGUUCCACGUUAACUCAGUUGAAAUGGCCAGCCUCCGACUGUCGGGUUACUUGAUGUGACAAACCCAGCUCUAUGGCUGUGGCUGUAGACGGAGACGCUCACGUGAUGUGGGGCGCGUGUUGGAUGCGGUGACUCUGCCACCUCUCGGUCUUUCGUAUCUGUCAGUCAUCCAUCUGCUGUCGUGGGUCACAUCUAUCCGUCUUUCAUCUCCCCAUAGCUCUAUCCCAUCUCCACUCUUCCAUCGCUUAGGAGCUGUGUAUCUAAUAUCAUCUGUCCACCCCCCGUCAUUGAUCUGUUCCAACAUCUCUCUACCACUGAUUGCAUCUGUAAGUCAUUCUUCUAUUUAUCUAUCAUUUUACCUAUGUAUAUGUCGGACCAUCCAGCCAAAAUAUCUAUCUAUCAACUGUCUGUCCAUCCAUCUUAUCUGUCUACCUAUUUCUCUAUCUUUUUAUCCACCUAUCUAUCCAUCUGUCCAUCUCUAUCUAUAAUCGCUGUAUCCAUCUGUAUGUCUGUCUGUCUGUCCAUCCAUCCGUCAUAUCUUUCUGUCUGUCUGUCUUUCUAUCAUUGAUGUCUACUGUCUCUCAUCUAUGUCUGUCUGUCUAUCUAUCAUCUAUCUGUGUCUAUCAUCGAUCCAAUCAAUCAUUCACAGACAAUGCCCUCACUCAUUCUGCUGUUACCCUCGUUCUUCCGAUGAAAACCCACCUGAUGAAACCCUUAGUUACCUGAGGAAGGGCUGCAGCCCUAGAGAUGGAGCUGAGACGUGGCCCCUCCUACCUCCUUCCCGAAAGUGAUGCGACUCCCGGCCAGUUACAUUUGACCUGCUCCAGGGUCGUGGUUACACGUAUUCGCUCGCAUACACAACCGUAGUCAUUGGUGUCGUGGGUCCAUAGACUACUCUGCGGUAACUCAGGCAGCGUUGUCAGUUUGGGUAUUUCAUUUUAUUCCCCCUUAUUAUUGUUGUGUAGAGUCCUUGCAGACACCUGUUGAGCACACGUUUGAAUGUGGGAAACACUUCUCUCUGAUGGAGCAUGGGAGGUGAAUUGCAUAUGUGUGAGCUUCCUAGGCACAAGCAUCCUUGGACACUGGGGAUUUACAGGAUUGGCGGCUUCUGGGGAAGCUCAUAGGAGCCCACAUCAGUGGGCUGUUAACCUGGGACCAGAGCUUCUCCUCAUGGCUGAAUCAGGUCCCGUGUUUUGCUAUGGACGUAGUCGUCUGUUACCUCGGAUGUGUGUGAACUAUUUGACCUGCUCUGGAUGCUGCUCACACCACAAUUCAUGUUGCCGUCACUCCCUCCAGGAGAUAAGAUGCAAAGGAAUCGGUUUCACCGUGGGACACAGCCCAGGGCUCAGAGCUCCACUGCCAUGGCAGAUAAAGAUCCAGAGAGGAAACAUCGGGGCUGUACCCGUGGACUCAAGGACUCAGCUCUGCCCUGCGGUGGGCACGCAGAUGGACAUAGCCUCGACGGGUGGACGUGGUUGUGGGCGCGUGACAUGGUACGUAUGCGACUUUUCCAUGAUUUUCAAGUAUCGCAGAAUAUAGUUCUUUUGGACUUUUGUCCCAACCAUUUAAAAAAAUGUAUAAUUAUUCUUAGCUCAUGUACAAAAACAGGCAAUUGGCAAGAUCUGAUCUAUAGGUCAAUGAUGGCCAUUAUCAAGUAUAGGUGACCUCACUUUGUCAGGCAAACAGAACCGAUACGAAAUCUGUCUAAUCUGCCUAGCUAUGUAGCUGUCUGUCUGUCUGCCUGCCUAUCAGUCGAUCGAUUUAUCAUUCCAGCUCUCGGUCUAUAUAUAUGUCUCUUUUUCUUUUCUUUUUUUUUUUUUUUUUUUUNNNNNNNNNNNNNNNNNNNGCCGGCGGCUACGGCUCCAAUUAGAGCUGGGAACCUCCAUAUGCCACGGAACCUCCAUGUGCCACGAGUGUGGCCCUAAAAAGACAAAAAAAAAAAAAAAAUCCAUGCACCCCUGUGUUCAUUGCAGCACUAUUCACAAUAGCCUGGGAACCUCCAUAUGCCAUGGGUGUGGCCCUAAAAAGACAAGAAAAAGGAAAAGAAAUGGAUGAUGGAGACAUGAUGAUGAAUAGAUGAUAAGUAGAUAGAUAGAGACAGAUGAUAUGCAGAUAAUGAAUAGAAUGACAGACAAUAGAUGCUCGCUCGCUGGGUGGGCAGACAUGGCAGCAGAUGGAUAGCAGGCUCUGCUUCUGUAUCUCUCCAUCUCCUCUCCUUUCUCUUCCUCGGGAGAGCCCGGACAGCACCUGGCCCAGAGAACACGAGCCCCAGCAGAACCCGAGCCCCGCUCCCCUGUAGCUCAGGGCAGAGUUCAUUCCCAGGCGUGGUCCCCACGCUAGGACUGAACUCUUUCAGUAACUGCUGGCCCAGCGCCCAACCUCGGGGGCCACGUCUAGACAGGUCUGGUUUCCGGCGUCUGAGCCAAGCACGUGCUCGGGUGUUCUGGCGGCCCCCACCCUGGCCUGCGCAACGCUCUAAAUACCUGUGGUCUAUGAACCGGGAGUCAAGAUAAGUAGGAUGUUAUGGAAACGUCUAAGCUUCCGAUGCUGCAUGGGGUUUUCAGGCUGUGCCGUCGGGUCUCAGGUGGCGAAGAGUAUUGGGAGGGGUCAGCGCCUCUGGGCAACUCCUGUCCAUUCUUGUUAAGUUCUGUUUCACACCCCCGCUGAGAUGGGUUUGCAUCCCCUCAGGUCAUGCUGCCCCACAGGCGUCAUUUGUAGGGACCUGGGAAGCUGCCCGUAGUCGUCACCAGGCAGGGGUCUUGGCAGAUCCCGGCAGCCUCUGGGGGCCUGGCUCUGUCUGCAGUGUCAGGAGGCUGGGAAGCUGCUCCAGGCCAUUGUGGGAACCUCGGUGCCUCCAUCAGGCCGCAAGGCCAUCUGUGUUCCUCCGUGACCAUGGCGUGGCUUCGUUUUUUUCGCCCAGCAAUUCGCGGGACGGACACACCCCUCAGGAAUCUGGUCCCUCCCUCUUCCCCGUGGGUAAUUCAGAAACGAGGAGUUCCCAUCAUGGUCCAGUGGUUACAAACCCGACCAGUAUCCAUGAGGACAUCGGUUCGAUCCCUGGCCCCUCUCAGAGGAAGAAGGAUCUGGCGUUGCUAUGGCUGUCGUGUACACCUGCAGCUGCAGCUCCGAUUCGACCCCAAGCCCGGAACGUCUGUAUGCCGCAGGUGCAGCCCCUAAAAAGCAAACUAAAUUAACAAAUGAAAAAGGAUCCUUGUUGUUGACUUAGCAUUCAGGAAAAAGAAGAUUAUCUGUGUGCCUGUUUAGAGCAAUACCUCCAAGCCUUUCAGGAUACGCCAGAGGGACGUUUCUUUCCCCAGAGUCAGCCCCUCUCCCUGGCUCCCAUCCACCAGCCAUCGCGUCUCUUCUUCUAUUUCCAAACACUCAUAUAUGCCAGGUGGGCCAAGUGGGUGGACACGCCUGGGUACCCCUCUCUGUACAUUCCUCAGGCUCUGACUUCACUCCGCAGCCCUUUCCUAAGGAAAGGCUGGCCUCUCCAAAAAUCACACAGGCUCGAGGACUCAUCCCCGUUACCAUUUGGAAAACGGUCUGUGGGUGUCGGGACGUGCUCUGCCGGUGCUCAGCUCGCAAAAAUCCCACCGUCUGUUCCAGGAUCCUGUCCUGGACUCGCCCCACUGGUGGAGGUGCCUUCUCUGAGUCUCCCGGGUACGGGGCCAGCGGCCGCCCCCAGUGAAAUGAACUGAUGUCUGUGGACUCGGGCCAGGCCAGUGAGGCACGAGGAAGGCUGCAACUAUUUGCAGAGAACGUGCCCUGUGCGGCUCCCUAAAUAGCCGGGGUUGGGAAGAGCCGGAAGCUGGGGUCCGUGAUGGCCAGCAUGAGCCGUCAAGGAGGUUGCUGUCCCCAGGCGUCCCUGGUGGUCCCAGAAUUCUUCACAAAGACAGUGAUGCCUGGGGCCAGGUUCGCUGGUGGCAGGACCCCGCGGGGAGGGGUCCACAUGGGAGACAUCUCCUUGCGACUCACGCCCCCAGGUGUGUCUGGUCGCAGCUGGAUCAUGACACGCCAACGUGGAAGUCCUUGACGGUGAGAACCUGGAGCCAUCGUCGCCGGGUGAGACGGAAGGGACACCGCCAUGCUUUGCGCGCGGCAGUUUCAAGGCGCAGAAGGCAAACGGGAUGCCCACGUGAAACCAUGCUGCAGCAGUGCCCGCAAAUGUGCCCGGGCUCGCACAGGAUUCCGACGUGGCAAGUCCCAGGUGCGGCUGGAGCCCGUCCAUUUGUGCCUGGCGCCCAAGUGAUGCUGCUGGUGGUGGGAGCGCCUCUAGAGAUGUGUUCUAGUGGCCUGGCGUCAUAGCCACUAGCCAUCCAUGGCUAACUAAAUGGCAUAAAAUAAAGGCAAAUCUAAAACCUUACUUCUUUGGUCCUAUGAGCUACAUUUCAAGUGCCAGGCAGCUGCCAUAUGGAUAGUACAGCAGAGAACAUUCUUCUGUCAUUGCAGAAAGUUCUACCAAACUCUGCUAGGGUAGGGCGUUCCUGCUAUGGCUCAGGGGGUUAGGAAACUGACUAGUACCCAUGAGGAUGUGGGUUCAAUCCCUGGCCUCACUCAGUGGGUCAGGGAUCUAGCAUUGUCAUAAGCUAGACAUGUGUUGGUCGCAGACACUUCUCAGAGUCAGCAUUGCUGUGGCUGUGAAGUAGACCAGCAGCUGCAGCUCCGAUUCCACCCCUAGCCUGGGAACUUCUAUUUGCCGCAGGUGCAGCCCCUAAAAAAGCAAAACAAACAAACAAAAAAAAACUGUGUUCGUCUAGAGGCUGGCUGUCACGUAGGAACGUCUAGUUACCACGGGGUUAAUAGGUUUUAAUGUUUGGAGUGUUUUUUAUCAUAAGAUGCUAAGGGGCGUGGUACCUCCAUAAGAUUCUGAACACUGGUGUAAUGCCUUUUAUAAUCAGGGCACACAAACACCCUCCCUCAGAAUGCGAGGCUCCCUCGAUGAUCGAAAAGCCAGGCUUUCAUUUCCCUAUGAAAGAGGUAAAGCCUGAAACAUCCCCCCAGUUGCCAUAUUUCCGGAUAGGUUCGUGUGUGCGCACUCGCCGGCUCUAAUGCAGGAGAGCUGUACACAUCGACAGCUGCCGGGAUACCCCGUCUGCCUCCUCUCAUGUUUUCUUAGCCUUAUUUUCCAUUCUCUAGAGGAGCCAGAGACACACAGAAUGAGGUUUCUCCUGAGCAGGAAGCGUGCCCGUGAGCAACCAGCUGAGAAGUCGACCCAUCACGUGUGAAANAGGGAGCGAUCCAGGUUCCCUGCCCAGCGGGUGCUCUGCCUCCCUAGUUCCGGAGGCUGGACUUUCAAGACCUGCUGAGAGCCAUCUUCCUGGUUCAUCAAUGGACAUUCUCUCCAUCAGGACGGAGACAAGACAGUUCCUUCUUACCCGUGAGAGAUACAUGUAUUGUCCAUGACUCCGCAGGAAAUUGAUUUCCCGAACCCGAUGCAGAGAUGGGGAAGGGGGGAGCCAAAAGAAGGGUUUGCUGUCCAGCUUUGGCGCCGGAGGAAAAGUCAGCCCCCAGAAGCUAAGCACUGAGAAGUCCAGUCUUCCACAUCCAGGGGUUUCCAGAUUCCCACUCGUGUAAGAAAUGCAGCGUGAUGUCCCAGUUUUCGUGUUUUUCUUGAGAUGUGGUCCUCUUGGAGGAGCUUCCCCUGCCAGGAUGGAAUUUCAGAGCUCUCGGCUCGAGAAGAAGGGAAAUGCCCCAAACAGCCACCCCCCAGCCCCCUUGUGGCCACUGAGAAGUUGGGGAGGAUGCAGCCACAAAGGAGGAUGUGAAAAGUAGGCGCGAUUGCAAGGCACGAAUCUCGGAAUCUUCGUGUUUCAUCAGGAAGGCAGAGGAGGAAGGAAUCUGCGAGGUGCAGCCGCCUCUUCUGACCUCAGGAUGGACGGAGAGGGCGUGAAGGACCCGUCAGUGACCAGCUGUUGCACAGAGAGCCCAGGGGAAGGGGGUGCCCUGGCGGGCACAUGGGAACCGAUGCUGCGGCUCACGAGAAGUUGGAGGAACAAACUGCUUUGUCCCAGGAGAAGAGGAGCAGGAUGGAACGGACGCCCGCUGUAAUCGUGGGCGGAACCGGAGGGACGGAUGCAACGCUUGGCGCUUCCGAUUCUGACAUUGGCUGACGUCACGGGAGAUGGAUGGGGGAGGGUCCAGAUGUUUCGAUGAGGAAACGGAGGCCACUAAGUGUUGUGUAACGUCCCAAGGGGACCCAGCUCUGAAGCGGUGGAGUCAGAAUGGAUUGCUUAACAGCCACCCCCACCCUCGGCUCGGAAGACGUCCACACCCAGGUAUGAAAAUGCCCUGUGGGAGUGUCUGUUGCUGCUCAGUGGGUUAAGAACCCAACAUAGCGUCCGUCCAAGGGAUGCGGGUUUGAUCCCUGGCCUCCCUUGGCGAAUUAAGGAUCUGGUGUUGCUACAGGCUGUGGUGUAGGUCACAGGUGCGUCUCGGAGCCUGUGUUGCGGUGGCUGUGGUGUAGACUGGCAGCUGCAGCACUGAUUCGACCCCUAGCUCGGGAACUUCCAUGUGCUGCGGGGGCGGCCCUGAAAACAAAAUAAAAAAGAAAGAAAGCAAAUGCCCUGUGGAAUGACCGCAUGAUAGUGACACAGUCUCGUGGCCUUUCUCUUGGGAACAGGCACACCUCUUUCCGAGCCACCUAAGUUCCUGCCUCUUGACUUUCUAGACACCCUUAACUGUUUAAAGGGGGGAGAACAAAAGAAGACAAAGCAAAUGCUCCUUUUUUGGGUCCUUUUUAAAACGUUUAUUGACAUAGAGCUGAUUUAUCAGCUUGUGAUCAUCUCCGCAAUACAACAAACUCACGAGCUCUUGUUAUUUGUAGACUUUUUGAUGAUGGCCAUUCUGACUGGUGCAAGGUGGUCCCUCAGUGUAACUUUGAUUCGCAUUUCUCUAAUAAUAAGCGGUGGGGAGCAUCCUUUCAUGUGCUUGUUGUUCUUUGGAGAAAGGUCUGUUCAGGUCUUCUGCCCAUCUUUUGAUUGGGUUGUUUGGCUUUUUUGAUAUCGAGCUUCACGGGUUGUUUGUGCCUUUUGGAGAUUAGUCCCUUGUGUGUCACUUCAUUUGCAAAUGUUUUCAGCCAUUUUGUGAGUGGCCUUUUUGUUUCGUCUGAUUUCCUUGGCUGUGCAAAUGUGUUUAAGUUUAUUUAGGUCCCAUGUGUUUCUGUUUUUAUUUUCAUUACUCUAAGCAGUGGAUCCAAAAAGAAAUUGCUGCAGAUUAUGUCAAAGAAUGUUCUGCCUCUCUUCUCCUCCAGGAGUUUAAUCAUAUCUGGUCUUACAUUUAGGUCUUUAAUCCAUUUUGAGUUUAUUUUCCUGUAUGAUAUUAGAGAAAGCUGGGAGUUCCUGUCGGGGUGCAGUGGAACUGAAUCCGACUAGGAACCGUGAGGUUGCAGAUUCGAUCCCUGGCCUCGCUCAGUGGGUUAAGGAUCUGGUGUGGCCGUGAGCUGUGGUGUAGGUCGCAGACAUGGCUUGGAUCUGGCAUUGCUGUGACUCUGGCAUAGGAGGGCAGCUAUACCUCCAAUUAGACCCAUAGCCUGGGAACCUCCAUGUGCUGCGGUGCGGUCCUAAAAAGACGGAAAGACAGAGAAUGCUAUCAUUUCAUUCUUUUGCAUGGAGCUGUCCAGUUUUCCCAGCACCACUUAUUGAAGAGCCUGUCUUUUCUCCAUUGUAUAUUCUUGCCUCCUUUGUCAUAAAUUAAUUGUCCGUAGGUGUGCGGGUUUAUCCUGUUCCAUUAAUCCACAUUUCUGAUUUGCGUCAGUGCCAUACUGUUUUGAUGACUCUAGUUUUGUGAUAUAAUCUGAUGUCAGGGAGCCUGAUUCCCCCGGUUCUGUUUCUUUUUCAGGAUGGCUUUGGCUGUUUGGGCUCUUAUGUGUUUCCAUAUAAAUUUAAAAAUAUUUUGUUCUAGUUCUGUUAAAAAAUGUCAAGGCAAUCUACAGUCUCAAUUCAUUAGUUUCUUAGAUCCGAGGCACAGGUCCAUAAAUGCCUAACAACAGAGACAGACCAGCAAAAUGUUCAUGCAGUUUAGAUUCUGAGAACUUGACUUGUGUUUUUAUUCUAGGUUUUGAUUCAUAUUUUUUCAAAAAAUCAGAGUUUAGAAUUUGUGACAAGUUGGCAGAGUUCUGUUGUGGCUCAGUGUGUUACGAAUCUGACUAGUAUCCCUGAGGACACAGGUUCAAUCCCUGGCCUUGCUCAGUGGGUCAAGGAUCCUGCAUUGCCAUGAGCUGUGGUGUAGGUCACAGAUGCUCUCUGGAUCUGGCGUUGCUGUGGUUAGUAUAGGCUGGCAGCUGCAGCUCUGAUUCAGCCUAUGAACGUCCAUGUGCUGAGGGUGCAGCCCUAGGGGAAAAAAAAAAAGAAUUUGGGACAAGUCGGGAUGGGUCAUGAAGGAAAAGACCCCACAGUCUAUAUCUAGCACACAGCAGGGUUGCCAUGCAGAAGACAGCAUUGUCAGCAUAGAGAUUCAGUUAAAAAAUGGAGGUUUUGAGAAACUCUCUCUCUGCUCACUCAGGAGUGUUAUCCUGAGACAGAUCCCAAAGAUGAAAAAAAAGCAGCUCAUUCUGAGCCACAAAGACCACGUGAAAAUGAAAACGAGUUCCCUGGUGGCUCAGCUGGUUAAGAACCCAGUGUUGUCACUGCUGUGGCUCGAGUUCGAUCCCUGGCCCAGGAACUUCUGCAUGCCAUAGGUGUGGCCAAAAGGAAAAAA